CUUCAUCUGGCUGCAGUGCUGUAUGGGACUUGCUCGGGAAGAAGGUCUCCAAAGAAGUGUGUUUUUGGUUGUAAGGGAAAGAUAACUUGUUCAGCUUCCUAAGGAACCCAGCGUUAUGUAAAUGGCAGAUACAGUUGUCUUCUGGGGCAGCAAAGGAGUUUCACAAGUUUUGUUGUUGACGAAUGUUUUAUAAACAAGGCCCAGUUCGAUGCUGGAUUUGCACAUCGUUUGAUUCUGAAGAUGGAGCGGUCCCAGCUAUAAAAGAUCCUGGUCGUGAUUCAGAACUGCAGACGAGAAAUUGGACUGCACCUCCCUUUGCUGCCAGUUUGGUUGCCGUAUUGAAAGAGAUGGUGAAAUGGGCUUUCUGUGUCCUCCAGGGCUCCACUUGGCUUCAGAUAACAGAACCUGCAAAGAAUGUACAGGGGUGAAGAAUGAGGUCAGGAGAAGAGUUAAAAACCUUCAUGAAACCAUUUUUAUCUGGAAUUCCCAAAGACUCUUCAAAAACCGGGCCAGAAAACUUUCAUGAAUGCUGCAUAAAAGCUGCAUCUACAGGAGUAUUUACACCUAGUCACUUCAUGUGUUUUUACUAAAUAGAUUGCUAUUUGAUCAUGAAAACACAAGUGUAAAUGCCCUCUAAGACACAUUUUAGAUGGAGGUCCUGAGGAGGUUGUUUGAUGUGCAUACAAGAGGCAACUGAGCCACUUACGGAUCUGGUUGUUCAAGCUACAUGUAUAAACCUCUGAAAUGGAACUAGGCCAACUCCAAAAUCCACAUGUGAGGGUCUCUUUUCAUCAAGAGAAUGUGCAAACUGACACAAAUAAAAUCAAAUUAACAGCAUUGCA
ensembl:lncRNA